AGCGAACGCUGGCGGCAGGCCUAACACAUGCAAGUCGAACGAACCGUCCGUGGUUAGUGGCGGACGGGUGAGGAACACGGGGGAACGUGCCUGUAGGUACGGAAUAAUUCAGUGAAACUUGUGCUAAGACCGAAUGGGCUCUUCUGGGGAAAGAUUUAUCGCCUUUAGAGCGGCCCGCGUCUGAUUAGCUAGUUGGUUUUGGUAAUGGCUCACCAAGGCUACGUUCAGUAGAUGGUCUGAGCGGAUGAUCCGCCACAUUGGCGCUAAGACACGGCCCACAAUCCUAGGGAAGGGGGGAGUGGGGAAUCUUGCGCGAUGGGGGAAGGUGUGACGCAGCCAUGCCGCGUAAGUGAUGAUGGUGUUAGGAAAGUGCAAUUGUUUCACACGGGGCGAUAAUGACGGUACCCGGAGAAGAAGCCCCGGCUAACUUCGUG
rnacentral:rRNA from 1 species